GCCACGGUGGUGUAGCGGUUAGGACGCUGGCCUUGUAAUCCUGGGGUCUCGGGUUCGAUUCCCGGCGGUGCCC
rfam:Zootermopsis nevadensis contig28209, whole genome shotgun sequence.